AACGAACGCUGGCGGCAGGCCUAACACAUGCAAGUCGAACGCUCCGCAAGGGGAGUGGCGCACGGGUGAGUAACACGUGGGAACCUACCUUCUGGUACGGAACAACCAAGGGAAACUUUGGCUAAGACCGUAUACGACCUCCGGGUGAAAGAUUGAUCGCCGGAAGAGGGGCCCGCGUCCGAUUAGGGUAGUUGGUGAGGUAACGGCUCACCAAGCCUUCGAUCGGUAGCUGGUCUGAGAGGAUGACCAGCCACACUGGGACUGAGACACGGCCCAGACUCCUACGGGAGGCAGCAGUGGGGAAUAUUGGACAAUGGGCGCAAGCCUGAUCCAGCCAUGCCGCGUGAGUGAUGAAGG
rnacentral:rRNA from 1 species